rnacentral:lncRNA from 1 species
AUGGAAGCUGCAAAAUUUUUUGAAGGGACCAAGAAGCUGCUGAAGGUUUGGUUCUCCUGGUAGCAGCCUGAUACAAACGAAGGAUGUGGGGAUCUUAGCAGUAUUCCAAGAUCUGAGUGGGACAUAUUUUUGAAGGAUGUGUAAUGUUCAAUCAUAUGUGUGACAAAAACUGACAAGCAGGAAGCUUAUGUACUCAGUGAGAGUAGCAUAUUUGUCUCCAAGAGACGUUUCAUUUUGAAGACAUGUGGUACCACCCUCUUGCUGAAAGCACUGGUUCCCCUGCCGAAGCUUGCUGGGGAUUACAGUGGGUUUGACUCGAUUCAAAGCCUCUUUUAUUCUCAUAAGAAUUUCAUUAAGCCUUUUCACCAAGGGUACCCUAACCAGAAUUUCCAGGAAGACAUAGAGUUUCUUAAUGCAGUUUUCCCAAAUGGAGCAGCAUAUUGUAUGGGAUAUAUGAAUUCUGACUGUUAGUACUUAUAUACUCUGGAGUUCCCAGAGAGUUGGGUAACCAGUCAGCCAGAUCAAACCCUGGAAAUUCUGAUGAAGUGAACUUGACCCAGCAGUUACGGACCAGUUCUACAUGAAAGAUGGUGUUACUGCAAAGAAUGUCACUCAUGAGAGUGGAAUUUGUGACCUGAUUCCAGGUUCUGUCACUGAUGACACAAUAUUUAAUCCUUUUGAGCAUUUGAUGAAUGGAAUGAAAUCAGACAAAACUUAUUAUUCACAUCGCUCCAGAACCAGAAUCCUCUUAUGUUAGCUUUGAAACAAACUUAAGUCAGACCUCCUAUGAUGACCUGAUCAGAAAAGUUGUGGAACUCUUUAAGCGAGGAAAAUUUGUGACGACCUUGUAUGUUAUUUAGAGUUCUAAAUGUUGCACAGUGCUUUCUUUGCCCCAGAAGAUUUAAGGUUUUAAGUGUCUUGAUUGUCAGAGGGCUAUGUUCAAUGAUUACAAUUUUGUUUUUACCUGUUUUGCUAAAAAUUUGCAACAGCAA